UGAAUAAGACUAUUUUGGGGACUAAAUGUCUUGCCUAAUGAGCUUCCAGUUUCUGUGCUUUUGAACUUUUGGCAUCCAUGUGUCUUUCCAGUGUUCAUCUGCUGACAAGCCUGCUAACAGAUCAAAGGCCAGCAUGUACAUUUGAGCCAGCGAUGGAAGACCUCUGUGCUCUUCCCAACAAAAGCAGGUGUGUCUUCAACCUGAGCCCCAGUCUUGGCCAACUGGAUUUACUCAUUGACCAGAGAAGAGAUGGUGUCCCUAUGGGAAUUCUUGGAAAAGAAAGAGGAAGAAUGUUUUUGGUCUUUCAUAUCCCCUGCCAGAAAGCAUUUGUUCAAAAAAAUUUUUCUUAGAAUCAUGAAUUCAGAGUUUCAAGACCUCCCGGGAAGGGCAAAAAUAUUUGUCUUGAUGAUGUCAUCAAGUAUUCCUGAACAUGAGGACAGUGAUGAAUUAGGAUGCAUGCUGAAUGGGUCCAAGCUAUCCACCAACAUGAUACCAACAUCAGUUUCUCACCAAAUUGAAAAAAAAGUCAAUUUGUGAAUGGUGAUGGAGUUCCUGAGAUACGUAAAGAUCAGAAUGGAAUAUGCACUUAUCUACAUAAGGUAGUGAGCAUAUUGAAGGGGUGCACUUCACUUCUGGAAAAGACCAACAAUGCUUCUUUGGUUUUGUGCAAAACUAAUGCUAGAGGACCCAAGGCUUCCUAACAUGAAUGAUCUCUCUUACUGAUCAAAGUAUUCCCCUGCACGUAAGAGGUGAAAAGUGCAUUUGAUGACCUGAAGAAUUGGUCCAAAUCAACUUGAGCAGUACUCAGAAGCCUCAUGCUCAUAGGACAUCAAUAUUUGACUCAAGACUAGAGUCAGAAGACACUAAGCAAUAUCACACAAAAAUAAAAUCAAUUAUAACUUAACA
rnacentral:lncRNA from 1 species